rnacentral:lncRNA from 1 species
AUGACCAGCUGAAGAACCCAAGUUGUCCCGAAUAUUCCCCAGAGGACACCAUGAUGGACACGAGACCUGCAACAGUACUCAUGCACACACACGUAACACUACAUACAUGCACAUAUGGUACACGCAGUGACUGCUCUCACCAGCACUGCGUGCCUACCCUGCCAUUGGCACAAGCCGUACACUUUUUCACAGCUGUAUUUUUUCCUCAGUGAAAUCUUCCCAUCUGGCCAAAAAUGGUGACAGAUGUUCUCCUUCAGCACAGAGUCCCACACAGGUUGCAAAGGGAUAAAGACCGUGUCUUCAUCACCCAGUGAAGACUCCAAGAUGACUAAUGGCCUCCGCCUGCACUCAGGGUAUUGACAGCAAACAUGGGGCUGAGGGUGCGCCAUGAGAUUCACCAGCAACCUUCUAUUCGUCUCCCCUCCCAUUUGUGUGGACCGAAGUCAGUGCAGGCUUGUGCCAUCACAAAAGUCUAUGUAAGAGCCCUCUGGUCCUUAAAUGCAGCCUGAGAACAUGCUACUACCUCCUGG